rnacentral:sRNA from 1 species
CGACCUUCAGACUUGCUACAAUCUUUCUGCCUCAUGCUCCUAAUGUUGCUACUGAGUGGAGUCCUCUAAGCACUGGGAUUAUAGGAUUUCUAUUAAUCUCGUCUCCACCCUGUCCUUUGGGGAACUGUGCUCAUGAGUGUGGUGUCUGUGGAAGCCAGAAGAAAGUGUCAGCUCCCUUGGAGUUGGAGAUGCAGGUGGUUGUGACCCACUUGAUGUAGUACUGGAAACUGAACUAAAGUUCAUGAAGAGAAUAGCGCAUAUCCCUAACUGCUGAGCCAUCGCUCCAGCUUAUAGAAACAUUGGCUUUAAAGUGGUACUGGAUUAGAGAACUUGCCUUGCAUUUAUGAAGUCCAAUUUUUAGUAAGACAGGAAAAAUAAAAUAGAUAUUAAUGUGA